AUCUUGGGAAAUUUCAUCGUGAUGGGGAUAGAUCAUUGCAAUUGUUGGUCUUCAACGAGGAAUGCCUAGUAAGCGCGAGUCAUCAGCUCGCGUUGACUACGUCCCUGCCCUUUGUACACACCGCCCGUCGCUCCUACCGAUUGAAUGGUCCGGUGAAGUGUUCGGAUCGCGGCGACGGGGGCGGUUCGCCGCCCCCGACGUCGCGAGAAGUCCAUUGAACCUUAUCAUUUAGAGGAAGGAGAAGUCGUAACAAGGUUUCCGUAGGUGAACCUGCGGAAGGAUCAUUGUCGUGACCCUGACCAAAACAGACCGUGCACGCGUCAUCCAGCCUGCCGGCGGCGGAUCCGUUCGUCGUUCGGCCAAGUCCUUGACAACCUCUUCUCUUCGGAGUGGGGGCUCGAGGUAAAAGAACCCACGACGCCUAAGGCGUCAAGGAACACUGUGCCUAGCCCGGGGACGCGGACAGCUUGCUGCCUGCCCCCGUGCUGCAACGCUAUUUAAUCCACACGACUCUCGGCAACGGAUAUCUCGGCUCUCGCAUCGAUGAAGAACGUAGCGAAAUGCGAUACCUGGUGUGAAUUGCAGAAUCCCGCGAACCAUCGAGUCUUUGAACGCAAGUUGCGCCCGAGGCCAUUCGGCCGAGGGCACGCCUGCCUGGGCGUCACGCAAAACACGCUCCCACCCCCUCAUCGGGGGACCGGGACGCGGCAUCUGGCCCCCCGUCACGCAAGGGGCGGUGGGCCGAAGAUAUGGCUGCCGGCGCAUCGUGCCGGACACAGCGCGUGGUGGGCGACCUCGCUUUACUUACCGCAGUGCAUCCGGUGCGUAGCCGGCGUGAUGGCCUCGAAGGACCCUAUGAACGGUGCGCACGACGCUCCGACCGCGACCCCAGGUCAGGCGGGACUACCCGCUGA
rnacentral:misc_RNA from 1 species